GAUGAACGCUAGCGGCAGGCCUAACACAUGCAAGUCGAGGGGUAGAGGAAGUUUGCUUCCUUGAGACCGGCGCACGGGUGCGUAACGCGUAUGCAAUCUACCUUUUACAGAGGGAUAGCCCAGAGAAAUUUGGAUUAAUACCUCAUAGUAUCUUUGCCUGGCAUCGGGGGAUUAUUAAAGUUACAACGGUAAAAGAUGAGCAUGCGUCCUAUUAGCUAGAUGGUAAGGUAACGGCUUACCAAGGCAACGAUAGGUAGGGGUCCUGAUAGGGAGAUCCCCCACACUGGUACUGAGACACGGACCAGACUCCUACGGGAGGCAGCAGUGAGGAAUAUUGGACAAUGGGCGCAAGCCUGAUCCAGCCAUGCCGCGUGCAGGAAGACGGUCCUAUGGAUUGUAAACUACUUUUGUACGGGAAGAAACACUCCCUCGUGAGGGAGCUUGACGGUACCGUAAGAAUAAGGAUCGGCUAACUCCGUGCCAGCAGCCGCGGUAACAC
rnacentral:rRNA from 1 species